UAUUUAGUCCAUUCCGAAGUUGUAGUUUGUUUUGACAUUUCCGUUUUAUUUAACCUAACCUAUGUUUUGUGUUUUAUUGUGUUUUAUACAAGGAGUUGUAGUUUUAUAUUGAAAUUGAAUUGAUUCUUGUUUCAUUGAAUAUAGAGGAGUUGUUCUGUUGCAAGUUGUUCUAGUUUUGUUGUUUUAAAAUCUGCGAAAAACUAUUUAUAGAUAAUGGUGAACUUAAACAAGAAAUGGACAUGCAGUUUGCUGAUUACUUAAUUGUGUACUCACAACACAUAGGAUUUCUCUGACACAGUUUCCAGUACAGAACUGCCACAGGAAUCUCCAGUGGAGUUGCAACCGCUCUCACGGACGUCCACAAAUCAAGUUACAAAACUGUUACAUGACUCUAUUGGAGUUGCAACCGCAAUUGGAUAAAAGUGAAAUUCGAAUAAUGCCAGAAAGACUAUAACCGUCCAAAGUGAUAGUGUGAAAUUAAAAUCAAAUGAUUACGUAUAAAUCAUAUUUAUAAUAAUUAUAAAUAGUAGCUGUAUUUUUUAAAUAAACAGAUUUGAUAAGUUA
rnacentral:lncRNA from 1 species